rnacentral:tRNA from 1 species
GCCGAAGUGGUGGAAUUUGGUAGACACGCUAUCUUGAGGGGGUAGUGCCUAACCGGGCGUGCGGGUUCAAAUCCCGCCUUCGGCACCA